GAAGAAGGGAGGGUAUACAUUAUGAUUAAGAACCAAUAAACAGAUGGCGAGGUAUCUCCCCUUGUUCAUGAUUUCUCUGUUGUUUUUCCUGUUUUUUUUUUCCAGAGACACUUGAUGUUACGACAGGGUUUCCUGAUGAGGACUGCUCAGACACGGACCCUACCCCAUCACAGCCAGGAGCCAAUAACACCAACAAAGAUUCACCAUCUACAUCAGCCAGAGAUGAAACGCCACAGACACUUGAUGUUACGACAGGGUUUCCUGAUGAGGACUGCUCAGACACGGACCCUACCCCAUCACAGCCAGGUGCCAAUAACACCAACAAAGAUUCACCAUCUACAUCAGCCAGAGAUGAAACGCCACAGACUGGACCAAGUACAUCACCCAAGAGGAGGUGGACACACGAGGAGGUUGCAGCUGUUGAGGCCAAGUUCAUGAAUCUCAUAAAGGCAG